UUCUAUAUUCGUUUGCAUACUCACAUCCCCACUCACAAAAUCAGCUGAUCCCACCACAGCUUCGCCUAACUAAGCAUCCUAAAUCCUGCCCAAAGCAGACCAGACUGACUGGUUCAUUCACCCUGCUACCAACGAGCCUUUAAAGCACAUUUUGUAACUGCUCCAUAGCUGGCACCGACUAUAGCGAAGUCAUUGUUUAGUCAAGGGAAAAUAUCAGUGUUGAGGCACUGGAGACACAGCAGCACAUACACGCACCACUUCAGACCAGGACUGUUAAAAGCAUUUUAUGAAACUGAUACUGAAGGGGGAGUUUGUGAAUAGGGAAACCUGAAUGGAUUUUGGCACAUUUUUAAAAAAGGAUGGGUUUUGAGAGAGAUCAAAUGGUUACAAUCUGACUUUCACAUCUUAUCUGGAAGACGAUGGCUCUUGGAGCAGCUUUUGGAGUAAAUCGUAUCUGGGAAUCACACACCUCAACAAAAGAAUUUCACGAGAGUUCUUCCGUCUACAGAUCAAGGUGGCAAAGAAAUGAAAGCCAAGGCGAUUCUGACCAAAAACAAGACACUCAUUUUUAACAGCCAAAGGCAAUUAACCCCUGCAAGCGCUUCUGAAGGACAGUUUUCCAUCAGUCAGUGUUUUAAAUCCAAGGAUGGGUAUUUUUUAUCUAGACAGAUGCGGUUCAGACGGGGAAGUCUGAUGGGCAGCAUCACACACAAGGUCAGAGGAGACUCUGAUGAGGAUCCUGGUUGUCUCCAUAACCACCCAGCCGUUCACCUACUGACUCCCCAGCCCGGUUCCUGCAGUGCGCGGCCUUGUUGUUCACAGUCUGUUUCCCCACGGAUGACCAGAGCCGACCCUGCUUAGAUUACAAAAGCUAAAGGGUUCAGAAGUGAGGAAAACAGGAAAGCCAAACAGUGAAAAUCUCAGCAAUAACGUUUCCUAACAAAGACCUUCAGAUCUCACUCUCAGCCAACAGCUGUCUUCAUGACGUCCAAAAAGGACGGCGUUUAGCCUGGUCAAGACUGCCUUUCUCCCAUUUAUUUUUACCCUGUUUAUUUUUCUAUACUGUGACAUUUUCUUAAAACCUUGGUCAUAAAUGAGGGCGUUAAUCCAGACUUAAGAAAACACACACGAACGCACGUACUCCAUAUGCUUCAAUUACAUGCAACACUCCCUACAGAAAACCAAACCAAUACCUGUGCACCGCUUAAGUUCCCCUUUGGGCCACAAAAUGGGAUUGAAUGCUGCAGAGCCUUUUCAUUUUGAGCAAACUGAAACGAGAUGACCUGUAGUUUGAUUUAUUGCACCGCAAAGUCUGGGACCGCAAAGGAACGCAAAGCAUUAACCUUUGGGGAAGCGUGAACGAAAAGCUAAAGAGUGAGAAAAGCUUAAUUUUGAAAAAAAAAAUAUCGUGUUUCUUUGCUUUACUGUUUCUGCAUUUUAAAUCUUACCCAAAUUCCCUGACCUAACAUCAUACACAUGCAAAC